rnacentral:sRNA from 1 species
GAUGUCAGUCAAAGAGAAGUCGAAGCUCACGAUUGCUCCGGCUUUUGGCUUUGAAAAAGGCAAAUUGCCAGCAGGAAUCCCAGCGUAAAAUAAAACGAAUUGGAUACAUGCUGCGUACUUUAUGAACUACCGUAGCCAGGAGAAAAAUGUUUAAAAUCAAAACUAUGGUAUUAAUUUUUGUUCACUUGUUGUUGACACGAUUGCCAUAAAUUUCAAUUUUUAAUUAAAAUGCUUUGAAAUUUUAUUAAUUUCCUUGUUUUUUUAUUUAUUUCUAUCGAGAGAACUCAUUUUCAACGAUUUCCGAGAAAGAACAAAUUUCUCUGAAGAGACGCAGACACUUACCUUAAAGGCGCAUGCAAUUUCGCGGCAGCGAUAUCUCGCCACGAACAGUGUCGCGCCUUGUUCGAUUUUACUCUCGCCUCGUAAACAACCCAUUUUUGCUUGUUUUUCACCGAUUUUUGGUCAUUUUUCAGAGUUUCUUAUCGAAAAAAUCAUGUCAGACGCCCACUUUUCAAUGACAAAUAGUUGUUCUUCGAAAAUUCAGUGUUAUUUUGGCCUAAAAUCGGCUAAAACUCUGGUCAUCAGAUUUUUGUUUACUUUGCCGGUUUUUUCCUGUUUUAGGCCAUUCUUCUGGAGUUUUCUAUCAAGAAAAUCAGUAAAUCAACUGAAAAUCAGAAAAGCAACCUUAUUUUCGAGGCAGAAUUAUCGAUUUUUGAAAAAUAAUUGUUAUUUUGGCCUAAAAACAACUUGAACUCGCCCUUGAACAAUUUCUUCCUUUUCUUUGCCAUUUUCUCUUUAUUUCUGAGUUAUAAAUCUUAAUAUUUCCUCUUUUAGCAAGAAUGGGCGUCGACAGACAGAUUCUCGUCGAGGGCGACAACGUCACCAAGCCAAAGAACGGUCAGACCGUCACCUGCCACUACGUGCUCACCCUUGAGAACGGAAAGAAGAUCGACUCUUCUCGCGACCGCGGAACUCCAUUCAAGUUCAAGAUUGGAAAGGGAGAGGUCAUCAAGGGAUGGGACCAAGGAGUCGCCCAG